UACAGAGGUCUCAAGCGUUGUUCGGAUUCAUUGGGCGUAAAGGGUGCGUAGGUGGCGCGGUAAGUCGGGUGUGAAAUUUCGGAGCUUAACUCCGAAACUGCAUUCGAUACUGCCGUGCUUGAGGACUGGAGAGGAGACUGGAAUUUACGGUGUAGCAGUGAAAUGCGUAGACAUCGUAAGGAAGACCAGUGGCGAAGGCGGGUCUCUGGACAGUUCCUGACGCUGAGGCACGAAGGUCAGGGGAGCAAACGGG
rnacentral:rRNA from 1 species